rnacentral:tRNA from 1 species
GGAUAGCUCAGUGGUAGAGCGCAUGCCUAGCAUGCAUGAGGCCCUGGGUUCCAGCCUCAGUAUAUCUA